UCGCCGCCCGCCAUGGGGCUGCUGCGCUGACAGGAGCGAGCGGAAGGGCGGGAGGAGGGCUGCGGGUGGGGUGGGUGCGCUGCGUGUGUGUGAGGCAGGGCCAGCAGGCGAGCGUGUGUGUGUGUGUGGCAGGUCACCCACUUGUGGCAGAAGGAGAGCUCUGGUCCGCUGGGGAAACCAUGCUGCUCUUUCGCACAGAGCAGCAGGUGCACCUCCACCUGCCUGGCUGCACAGCGGAGUGCGCUGGGAACUCCGGGCACCUCCAUUUUGCUGCCUCAGGACAAAGGCAGCAAACGACCUCCCCAGGAAACAUACCCACACCAGCAUUACAUCCGUCUCACUGUGGUAAAUAUAUAAAUAAAACCAGAAGGAAGCUUUUUUUGGAGAAUGAUCCUGGUAUUCCAAUGCUGAGCUUGAAUGAAAUUAUUUCAGCAUGUGGUCUCUUGUAUGCACUUGCUUCUGCCUGAGCUCACCUCCACAGCAAGCUGCUGAGGGUUACUGCAGCCACAAGAAGCAACAACAUGCGUGCAAGAAUCUCCAAUGGAAGACACUGGCCAAAGAUUUUAUGUCUGACUGCUUCAACGUGAAACCAAAAGAAAAAAAUAAGGAAAAACAUAUAUGCCAUAAAACAACACAAAAAUAGAUGAGUAUACCCUAGUUAACAAAUAAGCUAAGAAAGUAUAACAGAUAGCUUAUCGGGGCACAUAACAGCAGCGGAUGCUAGUUUGGUGCUUGACAUCAGAACAUAGAAGUCACCUGUAGAUCAUGUUAGCUACAGACUCCUCCUUAACUCACCCCUCACAAAAAAUAAAUUCUUGCAUUAUCUUAGAUCUUCCAAGGAAAUGUAAUUGCUGAAGUGCAUGCUUUGGAGUUGCCUUGAAGUGUGAGUAAGCUUCUCGGGCAUAUUCAACUCAGAACUGCUCUCCCUCUUCAGCCUCCACCUACCUAUCAUCUGAUAGAAGUGUGAAGACGUACACCAGGCACAAGUAAAUUGAAUCAUCCACAAAACACCAUAAAAGAAAUCUUAAAGGCAACAAAUACAUCACCUUACCUG